rnacentral:rRNA from 1 species
AGCAGCCGCGGUAAUUCCAGCUCCAAUAGCGUAUAUUAAAGUUGCUGCAGUUAAAAAGCUCGUAGUUGAAUUUCGGGACCAUCAUGUUGGUCGUGCCUAGGUACGUACUGGCAUUGUUGGUUUCUCCCUUCUGACGAACCAUGAUGUCAUUUAUUUGGUGUCGUGGGAAAUCAGGACUGUUACUUUGAAAAAAUUAGAGUGUUUAAAGCAGGCUCACGCUUGAAUACAUUAGCAUGGAAUAAUGAAAUAGGACGUUUGAUUCUAUUUUGUUGGUUUCUAGGAUCGACGUAAUGAUUAAUAGGGAUAGUUGGGGGCAUUAGUAUUCAAUUGUCAGAGGUGAAAUUCUUGGAUUUAUUGAAGACUAACUACUGCGAAAGCAUUUGCCAAGGAUGUUUUCAUUAAUCAAGAACGAAAGUUAGGGGAUCGAAGACGAUCAGAUACCGUCGUAGU